UAGGGAAUCUUCCACAAUGGACGCAAGUCUGAUGGAGCAACGCCGCGUGAGUGAAGAAGGUUUUCGGAUCGUAAAGCUCUGUUGUUGGUGAAGAAGGAUAGAGGUAGUAACUGGCCUUUAUUUGACGGUAAUCAACCAGAAAGUCACGGCUAACUACGUGCCAGCAGCCGCGGUAAUACGUAGGUGGCAAGCGUUGUCCGGAUUUAUUGGGCGUAAAGCGAGCGCAGGCGGAAGAAUAAGUCUGAUGUGAAAGCCCUCGGCUUAACCGAGGAACUGCAUCGGAAACUGUUUUUCUUGAGUGCAGAAGAGGAGAGUGGAAUUCCAUGUGUAGCGGUAGAAUGCGUAGAUAUAUGGAAGAACACCAGUGGCGAAGGCGACUCUCUGGUCUGCAACUGACGCUGAGGCUCGAAAGCAUGGGUAGCGAACAGG
rnacentral:rRNA from 1 species